AUUGAACGCUGGCGGCAGGCCUAACACAUGCAAGUCGAACGGUAACAGAAAGCAGCUUGCUGCUUUGCUGACGAGUGGCGGACGGGUGAGUAAUGUCUGGGAAACUGCCUGAUGGAGGGGGAUAACUACUGGAAACGGUAGCUAAUACCGCAUAACGUCGCAAGACCAAAGAGGGGGACCUUCGGGCCUCUUGCCAUCGGAUGUGCCCAGAUGGGAUUAGCUAGUAGGUGGGGUAACGGCUCACCUAGGCGACGAUCCCUAGCUGGUCUGAGAGGAUGACCAGCCACACUGGAACGGAGACACGGUCCAGACUCCUACGGGAGGCAGCAGUGGGGAAUAUUGCACAAUGGGCGCAAGCCUGAUGCAGCCAUGCCGCGUGUAUGAAGAAGGCCUUCGGGUUGUAAAGUACUUUCGGCGGGGAGGAAGGGAGUAAAGUUAAUACCUUUGCUCAUUGACGUUACCCGCAGAAGAAGCACCGGCUAACUCCGUG
rnacentral:rRNA from 1 species